GAUGAACGCUGGCGGCGUGCCUAACACAUGCAAGUCGAGCGUGAUUUAUGAGGACGAAACUUCGGUCUAGGAAUCAUAAUGAAAGCGGCGGACGGGUGAGUAACGCGUAGGCAACCUGCCCUUAACACAGGGAUAGCCUCGGGAAACCGGGAUUAAAACCUGAUGAUGCCAAAGAGUCACAUGGCUCGUUGGCCAAAGAUUUAUCGGUUAAGGAUGGGCCUGCGUCUGAUUAGUUUGUUGGUGGGGUAACGGCCUACCAAGACUACGAUCAGUAGCCGACCUGAGAGGGUGAUCGGCCACAUUGGAACUGAGACACAGUCCAAACUCCUACGGGAGGCAGCAGUGGGGAAUAUUGCACAAUGGGCGAAAGCCUGAUGCAGCAACGCCGCGUGAGCGAUGAAGGCCUUUGGGUCGUAAAGCUCUGUCCUUGGGGAAGAAACAAAUGACGGUACCCAAGGAGGAAGCCCCGGCUAACUACGUGCCAGCCGCCGCAGUAAGAC
rnacentral:rRNA from 1 species